GUGGAGAGCAGUCUGCAUGAAAACAUGAUAGCUUGCUUGGAGUUCCUGUUGAAUUGUCUGUUAUUGUAAUACCUACCUGGAUUUCCCAACUUGGAGGGACGCUGCUGGGAAGGUGUGCGAUGAUUUUGAGCUAACAGUGCCAUCUAGUGAUGCAAGGGGCACACGGGACUCUGAGCCACAUGGCAGAGCUGCAGUCGUCGGGGGCUUCACAGGGAAGUAAUCACCUAGCAUAAUAUUCAGUAAUGCCCCUGUGGUGCUAGAGUUGCCUGUCGCAGAAUCCACACACGCUCCUGAAACAUCCCUGGAGGAUACAAAUGACCACCUGAGGACUUCUUCUUUAAGCCCGAAGCAUGCAAUGACAAUGCUUGUUGUGAUUUAUUUUAAUGAGAAGGUAAAAAGUGGAUUGCCACUGUGUGUGAGAAGAGCAAGCAGGCACAAUGACUGUCAGUUCAAAGGAAAAAAGAAAACCUGAAGAUAUCCAUGCUAAGCAAAUACUCCGCAUUAGUACUGAAACUAUCACCGCAGCCUAUUUGACCACAGUCAUGCAAGGAUAUACUCAGACAGUUCUCUUGGUGGAAGACAUAAUGAUGGCUUUAAAGUCAGGGGUAUCGACCCAAUGGGAACUGGAUAAAAGUUGUCAUGCACAGCUUAAUGUAU
ensembl:lncRNA